UUGGUUGCGAUGAGAAAGAGGAGUACGCCUUCAACACGCAGCAGAGAGCCGAUCCCAUUGGCUGCAAGGAUCGGCGGCGGAUCGAGGCGGAAGGUCGCUUUUGAGCAUGUAACGUGAAGAUGUAAUGUCCUAGCGUUGUACGUUUGCCGCGUUAAGGCGUAUAAGUGGGAUCGGCAGAUUCGUUUUGCCGAUUCAACAAAGGUGGUACCGCGAGCGCCCGUUUCGUCCUUUGA
rnacentral:ncRNA from 1 species